rnacentral:pre_miRNA from 1 species
UUUAUACUCCCUCUGUCCCAAAAUUCUUGUCUUAGAUUUUUCUAAAUACGGAUGUAUCAAGUCACGUUUUAGUAUUAGAUACAUCCGUAUCUAGACAAAUUUAAGACGAGAAUUUUGGGACGGAGGGAGUAUUUA